GGGACUAUAGUUAACAAUAACAUUUGAGUUGCAUUCAAAAAGUGCUGCAUCACAGCUAGCCUCA
rnacentral:tRNA from 1 species